rnacentral:rRNA from 1 species
GACGAACGCUGGCGGCGUGCUUAACACAUGCAAGUCGAACGGAAAGGCCCUGCUUUUGUGGGGUGCUCGAGUGGCGAACGGGUGAGUAACACGUGAGUAACCUGCCCUUGACUUUGGGAUAACUUCAGGAAACUGGGGCUAAUACCGGAUAGGAGCUCCUGCUGCAUGGGGGGGGUUGGAAAGUUUCGGCGGUUGGGGAUGGACUCGCGGCUUAUCAGCUUGUUGGUGGGGUAGUGGCUUACCAAGGCUUUGACGGGUAGCCGGCCUGAGAGGGUGACCGGCCACAUUGGGACUGAGAUACGGCCCAGACUCCUACGGGAGGCAGCAGUGGGGAAUAUUGCACAGUGAGCGGAAGCCUGAUGCAGCAACGCCGCGUGCGGGAUGCCGGCCUUCGGGUUGUAAACCGCUUUCGCCUGUGACGAAGCGUGAGUGACGGUAAUAGGUAAAGAAGCACCGGCUAACUACGUG